rnacentral:rRNA from 1 species
AUUGAACGCUGGCGGCAUGCCUUACACAUGCAAGUCGAACGGAAGCGGGGGAGAAGCUUGCUUUUCCUGCCGGCGAGUGGCGAACGGGUGAGUAAUACAUCGGAACGUGCCCUGUAGUGGGGGAUAACUAGUCGAAAGAUUAGCUAAUACCGCAUACGACCUGAGGGUGAAAGUGGGGGACCGCAAGGCCUCAUGCUAUAGGAGCGGCCGAUGUCUGUUUAGCUAGUUGGUGGGGUAAAGGCCUACCAAGGCGACGAUCAGUAGCUGGGCUGAGAGGACGAUCAGCCACACUGGGACUGAGACACGGCCCAGACUCCUACGGGAGGCAGCAGUGGGGAAUUUUGGACAAUGGGCGAAAGCCUGAUCCAGCAAUGCCGCGUGUGUGAAGAAGGCCUUCGGGUUGUAAAGCACUUUUGUCCGGAAAGAAAUGGCUCUGGUUAAUACCUGGGGUCGAUGACGGUACCGGAAGAAUAAGGACCGGCUAACUACGUGCCAGCCGCCGCCGUAA